rnacentral:rRNA from 1 species
UACAGAGGGUGCAAGCGUUAAUCGGAAUUAUUGGGCGUAAAGGGCUUGUAGGUUGUUCUAUAAGUUAGAUGUGAAACCCCUGGGCUUAACCUGGGACGUGCAUUUAAUACUGUAGAGCUAGAGUAUGGUAGAGGAGUAGGGAAUUCCUGGUGUAGCAGUGAAAUGCGUAGAGAUCAGGAGGAACAUCAGUGGCGAAGGCGCUACUCUGGACUAAUACUGACACUGAGGAGCGAAGGGCGUGGGGAGCAAACAGG